rnacentral:misc_RNA from 1 species
UGACAAGUUCCGCACUGUUGUUGAGCAGUAUUAUGGUAAGAAGUUUGAGACCUUCCGAGAGUUGCCAGAAUGGGAAUUCAAGAGCUAUCUUGGAUGGCACGAGCAGGGUGAUGGUGCGCUCUUUUGCGGAGUGCAUGUUGAUAAUGGCCGAAUUGGAGGAAUCAUGAAGAAAACCUUGAGGGAGAUAAUUGAGAAGUAUAACGUGAAUGUGCGCCUUACUCCAAAUCAGAACUUAAUCUUGUGUGACAUCCAAAGCUCAUGGAAACAAGACAUCAACACAGCUCUUGCUCAAGCUGGUCUGUUGG